GUUGAACCGCAUGGUUCUACAGUGAAAGACGGUCUUGCUGUCACUUAUAGAUGGACCCGCGCCGUAUUAGCUAGUUGGUGGGGUAACGGCCUACCAAGGCGACGAUACGUAGCCGACCUGAGAGGGUGAUCGGCCACACUGGAACUGAGACACGGUCCAGACUCCUACGGGAGGCAGCAGUAGGGAAUCUUCCGCAAUGGGCGAAAGCCUGACGGAGCAACGCCGCGUGAGUGAUGAAGGUCUUCGGAUCGUAAAGCUCUGUUGUUAGGGAAGAACAAAUGUGUAAGUAACUGUGCACAUCUUGACGGUACCUAACCAGAAAGCCACGGCUAACUACGUGCCAGCAGCCGCGGUAAUACGUAGGUGGCAAGCGUUAUCCGGAAUUAUUGGGCGUAAAGCGCGCGUAGGCGGUUUUUUAAGUCUGAUGUGAAAGCCCACGGCUCAACCGUGGAGGGUCAUUGGAAACUGGAAAACUUGAGUGCAGAAGAGGAAAGUGGAAUUCCAUGUGUAGCGGUGAAAUGCGCAGAGAUAUGGAGGAACACCAGUGGCGAAGGCGGCUUUCUGGUCUGCAACUGACGCUGAUGUGCGAAAGCGUGGGGAUCAAACAGGAUUAGAUACCCUGGUAGUCCACGCCGUAAACGAUGAGUGCUAAGUGUUAGGGGGUUUCCGCCCCUUAGUGCUGCAGCUAACGCAUUAAGCACUCCGCCUGGGGAGUACGGUCGCAAGACUGAAACUCAAAGGAAUUGACGGGGACCCGCACAAGCGGUGGAGCAUGUGGUUUAAUUCGAAGCAACGCGAAGAACCUUACCAAAUCUUGACAUCCUUUGACCGCUCUAGAGAUAGAGUUUUCCUCUUCGGAGGACAAAGUGACAGGUGGUGCAUGGUUGUCGUCAGCUCGUGUCGUGAGAUGUUGGGUUAAGUCCCGCAACGAGCGCAACCCUUGAACUUAGUUGCCAUCAUUCAGUUGGGCACUCUAAGUUGACUGCCGGUGACAAACCGGAGGAAGGUGGGGAUGACGUCAAAUCAUCAUGCCCCUUAUGAUUUGGGCUACACACGUGCUACAAUGGACAAUACAAAGGGCAGCGAAACCGCGAGGUCAAGCAAAUCCCAUAAAGUUGUUCUCAGUUCGGAUUGUAGUCUGCAACUCGACUACAUGAAGCUGGAAUCGCUAGUAAUCGUAGAUCAGCAUGCUACGGUGAAUACGUUCCCGGGUCUUGUACACACCGCCCGUCACACCACGAGAGUUUGUAACACCCGAAGCCGGUGGAGUAACCAUUUUGGAGCUAGCCGUCGAAGGUGGGACAAAUGAUUGGGGUGAAGUCGUAACAAGGUAGCCGUAUCGGAAGGUGCGGCUGGAUCACCUCCUUUCUA
rnacentral:rRNA from 1 species